rnacentral:rRNA from 1 species
UACGUAGGGGGCUAGCGUUGUCCGGAAUCAUUGGCGUAAAGCGCGUGUAGGCGGUCCGGUAAGUCCGCUGUGAAAGUCGGGGGCUCAACCCUCGAAUGCCGGUGGAUACUGUCGGGCUAGAGUGCGGAAGAGGCGAGUGGAAUUCCUGGUGUAGCGGUGAAAUGCGCAGAUAUCAGGAGGAACACCAAUUGCGAAGGCAGCUCGCUGGGACGUUACUGACGCUGGAGACGCGAAAGCGUGGGGAGCAAACAGG